GCUGUAGCCUAAUGGUAGAGGAUCUCUUUUGCAUGCAGAAGGUCCCAGGUUCAAUCCCAGGCAUCUCCA